CCUACGGGAGGCAGCAGUCGGGAAUCUUGCACAAUGGGCGAAAGCCUGAUGCAGCAACACCGUGUGAGCGAUGAAGGCCCUAGGGUCGUAAAGCUCUGUUGUUAGGGGCGAAGGGCGAAGGGUUAAUAGCCCUUAGCCUGACGGUACCUUUCGAGGAAGCCCCGGCUAACUACGUGCCAGCAGCCGCGGUAAUACGUAGGGGGCGAGCGUUGUCCGGAAUUAUUGGGCGUAAAGGGCGUGUAGGCGGCUUGGUAAGUCUGCUGUGAAGCCUUGGGGCUCAACCCCAAGCGUGCAGUGGAUACUGUCAAGCUAGAGGAUGGUAGAGGCCAGUGGAAUUCCCGGUGUAGCGGUGAAAUGCGCAGAUAUCGGGAGGAACACCAGUAGCGAAGGCGGCUGGCUGGGCCAUUCCUGACGCUGAGACGCGAAAGCUAGGGGAGCGAACAGGAUUAGAUACCCUGGUAGUCCUAGCCGUAAACGAUGAACACUAGGUGUGGGGGGAGUCGAAUCCCUCCGUGCCGAAGCCAACGCGUUAAGUGUUCCGCCUGGGGAGUACGGCCGCAAGGCUAAAACUCAAAUGAAUUGACGGGG
rnacentral:rRNA from 1 species